rnacentral:piRNA from 1 species
AAGGCCGAACGAUACUGGGCGACGCCAUGC